rnacentral:rRNA from 1 species
CCUACGGGAGGCAGCAGUGGGGAAUAUUGGGCAAUGGGCGCAAGCCUGACCCAGCAACGCCGCGUGAAGGAAGAAGGCUUUCGGGUUGUAAACUUCUUUUGUCAGGGACGAAGCAAGUGACGGUACCUGAUGAAUAAGCCACGGCUAACUACGUGCCAGCAGCCGCGGUAAUACGUAGGUGGCAAGCGUUAUCCGGAUUUACUGGGUGUAAAGGGCGUGUAGGCGGGACUGCAAGUCAGAUGUGAAAACCACGGGCUCAACCUGUGGCCUGCAUUUGAAACUGUAGUUCUUGAGUACGGGAGAGGCAGACGGAAGUCCUAGUGUAGCGGUGAAAUGCGUAGAUAUUAGGAGGAACACCAGUGGCGAAGGCGGUCUGCUGGACAGCAACUGACGCUGAGGCGCGAAAGCGUGGGGAGCAAACAGGAUUAGAUACCCCAGUAGUC